GAUGAACGCUGGCGGCGUGCCUAAUACAUGCAAGUCGAGCGAACGGACGAGAAGCUUGCUUCUCUGAUGUUAGCGGCGGACGGGUGAGUAACACGUGGAUAACCUACCUAUAAGACUGGGAUAACUUCGGGAAACCGUAGCUAAUACCGGAUAAUAUUUUGAACCGCAUGGUUCAAAAGUGAAAGACGGUCUUGCUGUCACUUAUAGAUGGAUCCGCGCUGCAUUAGCCAGUUGGUAAGGUAACGGCUUACCAAGGCAACGAUGCAUAGCCGACCUGAGAGGGUGAUCGGCCACACUGGAACUGAGACACGGUCCAGACUCCUACGGGAGGCAGCAGUAGGGAAUCUUCCGCAAUGGGCGAAAGCCUGACGGAGCAACGCCGCGUGAGUGAUGAAGGUCUUCGGAUCGUAAAACUCUGUUAUUAGGGAAGAACAUAUGUGUAAGUAACUGUGCACAUCUUGACGGUACCUAAUCAGAAAGCCACGGCUAACUACGUG
rnacentral:rRNA from 1 species